UAAGAUUAAUCGCCGAAGACAGUAGGUGCACAUGAUGCUUAAUUUCCUACCGAGGUUUAAACCGAAAUUUGACCUCUUUUUGUCUUGGAUAAAAAGAGGUUUUUGUAUUUUU
rnacentral:sRNA from 1 species